rnacentral:rRNA from 1 species
GGUAUUAAGCUCGUAGUUGGAUCUAGGGACGCGCAUUUCAAGCGCCCGUGCCAUCGGGUCAAACCGGUGGCUGCGUUGGCGUUGCGGGCUCGGUCCGUCGGUGCCCCACAAAGGGCUAUCGGCGUGUCAACCGGCCCGCCCGUCCCCUCCUUCUGGAUUCCCGUUCCUGCUAUUGAGUUAGUGGGGACGUCACAGGGGGUCCAUCGUCGUGCGGCGUCAAAACCGUGCGGCGGUGGGUCCCUGGGGCCCAGAUCGUUUACCGUGAAAAAAUUAGAGUGUUCAAAGCAGGCAGAUCCAAUUUUCUGCCACCGAAUACAUUAGCAUGGGAUAAUGGAAUAGGACCCUGUCCUCCUAUUUUCAGUUGGUUUUGGCAGCGCGAGGACUAGGGUAAUGAUUAAUAGGGAUAGUUGGGGGCAUUAAUAUUUAAUUGUCAGAGGUGAAAUUCUUGGAUUUAUGAAAGAUUAACUUCUGCGAAAGCAUCUGCCAAGGAUGUUUUCAUUAAUCAAGAACGAAAGUUAGGGGAUCGAAGACGAUCAGAUACCGUCGUAGUCUUAACCAUAAACGAUGCCGACCAGCGAUUAGGAGACGUUGAAUACAAAACACCACCAUCGGUGCGGUCGUCCUUGGCGUCUCGGUCCUUCACGGGGCCGGGGCGCGGGGGUGGCUUAGCCCGGUGGCACCGGUGAAUGACUCCCCUAGCAGCUUGUGAGAAAUCAUAAGUCUUUGGGUUCCGGGGGGAGUAUGGUCGCAAGGCUGAAACUUAAAGGAAUUGACGGAAGGGCACCACCAGGAGUGGAGCCUGCGGCUAAUUCUCACAACUAAACACA